GUACUGCUGAGGAGUCCCACAAUAGGACGAAACACACGUUCAGUGC
rnacentral:hammerhead_ribozyme from 1 species